rnacentral:rRNA from 1 species
GGGUUGUGAGGUUAAGCGACUAAGCGUACACGGUGGAUGCCCUGGCAGUCAGAGGCGAUGAAGGACGUGCUAAUCUGCGAUAAGCGCCGGUAAGGUGAUAUGAACCGUUAUAACCGGCGAUUUCCGAAUGGGGAAACCCAGUGUGACUCGUCACACUAUCAUUAACUGAAUCCAUAGGUUAAUGAGGCGAACCGGGGGAACUGAAACAUCUAAGUACCCCGAGGAAAAGAAAUCAACCGAGAUUCCCCCAGUAGCGGCGAGCGAACGGGGAGGAGCCCAGAGCCUGAAUCAGCAUGUGUGUUAGUGGAAGCGUCUGGAAAGGCGCGCGAUACAGGGUGACAGCCCCGUACACAAAAGCGCAUGUGCUGUGAGCUCGAUGAGUAGGGCGGGACACGUGGUAUCCUGUCUGAAUAUGGGGGGACCAUCCUCCAAGGCUAAAUACUCCUGACUGACCGAUAGUGAACCAGUACCGUGAGGGAAAGGCGAAAAGAACCCCGGCGAGGGGAGUGAAAAAGAACCUGAAACCGUGUACGUACAAGCAGUGGGAGCACAGGUUUACCUGUGUGACUGCGUACCUUUUGUAUAAUGGGUCAGCGACUUAUAUUCUGUAGCAAGGUUAACCGCAUAGGGGAGCCGGAGGGAAACCGAGUCUUAAUUGGGCGUUAAGUUGCAGGGUAUAGACCCGAAACCCGGUGAUCUAGCCAUGGGCAGGUUGAAGGUUGGGUAACACUAACUGGAGGACCGAACCGACUAAUGUUGAAAAAUUAGCGGAUGACCUGUGGCUGGGGGUGAAAGGCCAAUCAAACCGGGAGAUAGCUGGUUCUCCCCGAAAGCUAUUUAGGUAGCGCCUCGUGAAUUCAUCUCCGGGGGUAGAGCACUGUUUCGGCUAGGGGGCCAUCCCGGCUUACCAACCCGAUGCAAACUGCGAAUACCGGAGAAUGUUAUCACGGGAGACACACGGCGGGUGCUAACGUCCGUCGUGAAGAGGGAAACAACCCAGACCGCCAGCUAAGGUCCCAAAGUCAUGGUUAAGUGGGAAACGAUGUGGGAAGGCCCAGACAGCCAGGAUGUUGGCUUAGAAGCAGCCAUCAUUUAAAGAAAGCGUAAUAGCUCACUGGUCGAGUCGGCCUGCGCGGAAGAUGUAACGGGGCUAAACCAUGCACCGAAGCUGCGGCAGCGACGCUGAUGCGUUGUUGGGUAGGGGAGCGUUCUGUAAGCCUGUGAAGGUGGCCUGUGAGGGUUGCUGGAGGUAUCAGAAGUGCGAAUGCUGACAUAAGUAACGAUAAAGCGGGUGAAAAGCCCGCUCGCCGGAAGACCAAGGGUUCCUGUCCAACGUUAAUCGGGGCAGG